rnacentral:rRNA from 1 species
ACUCCUACGGGAGGCAGCAGUGGGGAAUUUUGCGCAAUGGGGGAAACCCUGACGCAGCAACGCCGCGUGAGUGAUGAAGGCCUUCGGGUCGUAAAGCUCUGUCAGAGGGAAAGAAAUGCAGUAAUGCUAAUACCAUGACUGCUUGACGGUACCCUCAAAGGAAGCACCGGCUAACUCCGUGCCAGCAGCCGCGGUAAUACGGAGGGUGCAAGCGUUGUUCGGAAUUAUUGGGCGUAAAGCGCGUGUAGGCGGUUUGUUAAGUCUGAUGUGAAAGCCCCGGGCUCAACCUGGGAAGUGCAUUGGAAACUGGCAGACUUGAAUACGGGAGAGGGUAGUGGAAUUCCUAGUGUAGGAGUGAAAUCCGUAGAUAUUAGGAGGAACACCGGUGGCGAAGGCGGUUACCUGGACCGAUAUUGACGCUGAGACGCGAAAGCGUGGGGAGCAAACAGGAUUAGAUACCCUGGUAGUCCACGCCGUAAACGAUGAGAACUAGGUGUCGCGGGU